GGUUAAGCGACUAAGCGUACACGGUGGAUGCCCUGGCAGUCAGAGGCGAUGAAGGACGUGCUAAUCUGCGAAAAGCGUCGGUAAGGUGAUAUGAACCGUUACAGCCGGCGAUGUCCGAAUGGGGAAACCCAGUGCAAUUCGUUGCACUAUCGUUAACUGAAUACAUAGGUUAACGAGGCGAACCGGGGGAACUGAAACAUCUAAGUACCCCGAGGAAAAGAAAUCAACCGAGAUUCCCCCAGUAGCGGCGAGCGAACGGGGAGCAGCCCAGAGUCUGAAUCAGCUUGUGUGUUAGUGGAACGGUCUGGAAAGUCCGACGGUACAGGGUGAUAGUCCCGUACACCAAAAUGCACAGGCUGUGAACUCGAAGAGUAGGGCGGGACACGUGGUAUCCUGUCUGAAUAUGGGGGGACCAUCCUCCAAGGCUAAAUACUCCUGACUGACCGAUAGUGAACCAGUACCGUGAGGGAAAGGCGAAAAGAACCCCGGCGAGGGGAGUGAAAAAGAACCUGAAACCGUGUACGUACAAGCAGUGGGAGCACCUUCGGGUGUGACUGCGUACCUUUUGUAUAAUGGGUCAGCGACUUAUAUUCUGUAGCAAGGUUAACCGUAUAGGGGAGCCGCAGGGAAACCGAGUCUUAACUGGGCGUUAAGUUGCAGGGUAUAGACCCGAAACCCGGUGAUCUAGCCAUGGGCAGGUUGAAGGUUGGGUAACACUAACUGGAGGACCGAACCGACUAAUGUUGAAAAAUUAGCGGAUGACUUGUGGCUGGGGGUGAAAGGCCAAUCAAACCGGGAGAUAGCUGGUUCUCCCCGAAAGCUAUUUAGGUAGCGCCUCGUGAACUCAUCUUCGGGGGUAGAGCACUGUUUCGGCUAGGGGGUCAUCCCGACUUACCAACCCGAUGCAAACUACGAAUACCGAAGAAUGUUAUCACGGGAGACACACGGCGGGUGCUAACGUCCGUCGUGAAGAGGGAAACAACCCAGACCGCCAGCUAAGGUCCCAAAGUCACAGUUAAGUGGGAAACGAUGUGGGAAGGCACAGACAGCCAGGAUGUUGGCUUAGAAGCAGCCAUCAUUUAAAGAAAGCGUAAUAGCUCACUGGUCGAGUCGGCCUGCGCGGAAGAUGUAACGGGGCUAAACUGUGCACCGAAGCUGCGGCAGCGACACUAUGUGUUGUUGGGUAGGGGAGCGUUCUGUAAGCCUGCGAAGGUGGCCUGUGAGGGUUGCUGGAGGUAUCAGAAGUGCGAAUGCUGACAUAAGUAACGAUAAUGCGGGUGAAAAGCCCGCACGCCGGAAGACCAAGGGUUCCUGUCCAACGUUAAUCGGGGCAGGGUGAGUCGACCCCUAAGGCGAGGCCGAAAGGCGUAGUCGAUGGGAAACAGGUUAAUAUUCCUGUACUUGGUGUUACUGCGAAGGGGGGACGGAGAAGGCUAUGUUAGCCGGGCGACGGUUGUCCCGGUUUAAGCAUGUAGGCGGAGGUUCCAGGUAAAUCCGGUACCUUAUUAACGCUGAGGUGUGAUGACGAGGCACUACGGUGCUGAAGUAACAAAUGCCCUGCUUCCAGGAAAAGCCUCUAAGCAUCAGGUAACAUUGAAUCGUACCCCAAACCGACACAGGUGGUCAGGUAGAGAAUACCAAGGCGCUUGAGAGAACUCGGGUGAAGGAACUAGGCAAAAUGGUGCCGUAACUUCGGGAGAAGGCACGCUGAUAUGUAGGUGAAGCCCCUGCGGGUGGAGCUGAAAUCAGUCGAAGAUACCAGCUGGCUGCAACUGUUUAUUAAAAACACAGCACUGUGCAAACACGAAAGUGGACGUAUACGGUGUGACGCCUGCCCGGUGCCGGAAGGUUAAUUGAUGGGGUUAUCCGUAAGGAGAAGCUCUUGAUCGAAGCCCCGGUAAACGGCGGCCGUAACUAUAACGGUCCUAAGGUAGCGAAAUUCCUUGUCGGGUAAGUUCCGACCUGCACGAAUGGCGUAAUGAUGGCCAGGCUGUCUCCACCCGAGACUCAGUGAAAUUGAACUCGCUGUGAAGAUGCAGUGUACCCGCGGCAAGACGGAAAGACCCCGUGAACCUUUACUAUAGCUUGACACUGAACAUUGAGCCUUGAUGUGUAGGAUAGGUGGGAGGCUUUGAAGCGUGGACGCCAGUCUGCGUGGAGCCAACCUUGAAAUACCACCCUUUAAUGUUUGAUGUUCUAACGUUGGCCCCUAAUCGGGGUUGCGGACAGUGUCUGGUGGGUAGUUUGACUGGGGCGGUCUCCUCCCAAAGAGUAACGGAGGAGCACGAAGGUUAGCUAAUCCUGGUCGGACAUCAGGAGGUUAGUGCAAUGGCAUAAGCUAGCUUGACUGCGAGCGUGACGGCGCGAGCAGGUGCGAAAGCAGGUCAUAGUGAUCCGGUGGUUCUGAAUGGAAGGGCCAUCGCUCAACGGAUAAAAGGUACUCCGGGGAUAACAGGCUGAUACCGCCCAAGAGUUCAUAUCGACGGCGGUGUUUGGCACCUCGAUGUCGGCUCAUCACAUCCUGGGGCUGAAGUAGGUCCCAAGGGUAUGGCUGUUCGCCAUUUAAAGUGGUACGCGAGCUGGGUUUAGAACGUCGUGAGACAGUUCGGUCCCUAUCUGCCGUGGGCGCUGGAGAAUUGAGGGGGGCUGCUCCUAGUACGAGAGGACCGGAGUGGACGCAUCACUGGUGUUCGGGUUGUCAUGCCAAUGGCAUUGCCCGGUAGCUAAAUGCGGAAGAGAUAAGUGCUGAAAGCAUCUAAGCACGAAACUUGCCCCGAGAUGAGUUCUCCCUGACUCCUUGAGAGUCCUGAAGGAACGUUAAAGACGAUGACGUUGAUAGGUCGGGUGUGUAAGCGUAGCGAUACGUUGAGCUAACCGAUACUAAUGAACCGUGAGGCUUAACCUU
rnacentral:rRNA from 1 species